CAAAUAUAAAAAUAACUAUAAAAAAAGAAAAUUGUGAAAGAUUUGAUUAAGGACUAUGAAGCAAACUACAUUUACAAAGAGUAUCCUGUUUUUUUUACUUGAUGGAAUAUACUAAGAAGUUCUAUGACUGGUUAUCUGUCAUGAGUACUUAAUGGAAAUUCGCCAAGCAAGUUUCUCACCAGACCGACUAUACACCAUACCAAAGAAGAUUACUUACUCAUGAUGACAAAAUGCCCUUAAGAAUGAUAAUAGCAAAUAUGCAAUGAUGCAUCUGAGAGAGGCUCAUAUUGUUGGUGAGCACAUAAUGACUUUAUUGCCCUAUGAUUGUCUCAAGAAACUAGAAAACUCAAGUAAAUCAACAGGCUAAUACUACAACUCUUAGAAGUAACUGAUGUGUUAUAUCAACAAAUGGCCUUCAUACACUGGGAACAAGCACUUAUUUGUAUUUUCCAAUGGACUGGCUUCAUAGAUUGUUUUCACAAUAUAUAAAGAAUAAUAUAUUUCUAUUAUCGGAUAAAACAUGGAAACGUGUUAGAAAAUGAUACCAGAAAAAAAAAAAAAAGAAAAUGAUACCAGGUAUCUCAGCACGUUUGUGUUGCACCUGAAAUGUACCUGUAAGCAUAUGUAAAAAUGUAAAUUAUAUAGCAGAAGUGGGUUAUUAGCACAUAUUUUCCCCUAAAACACUUGUUUUGGUUUUUUUUUUUUUUCCCAUUUUUACCCCACCCCAUACUUCUCCACCACUCAAUUUUCUCCUCUCCUCUCAACUAAUAACUGCAGUGUGAUCAUUAACAACUCAAUUUUAUUUUUUCUAUAUUCCUUUCCCCAGUCUCAUGUUAUAAUGCAUACACUUCCACACAUGCCUCCCUGUGCAUACGUAGUUCUUUGCCAUUGUUUGCUUAAUAAAAAAAUAAAGAUUCCGAGUGCCUGGGUGGC